UUUUAUUUCCAUCGAUAUUUAUUUUUGCAACGAGUCAGACGGAAGAGGAGAAAACCAUGGAGUCAGGGAAGAUAACCGCGGAAGAGGAGAAAUUCACCGAUCCCAUCAGUCGUUAUGAGUCAGACAUACUUCAAUUACUGGAUCAUUGGGAUUCUUUUAAUACAGAUUCUAAAAUUGGUGUAAUAUUGGAAUAUUUAAGCUUCUUGAUUUCUCUAGAGUCGCUUUAUGUUGAUUAUUUGUAUGGAAAGCUUGAUGAAGAUCGAUCUCCUCCUAAACACCCACUACUUUUUCAUGCCACUAUUCUGAAAAGAAUUGAUAUCACACUUUGGAAUCAAUCGAGAAUCAAUCGAGGGAGGCAAACAAGCUUCUGGAACAACCUAAUCAAGAUGAAAAUCUUGCCUACUUGAAAUUGUUUUUGUAGAAAUAUCUCAAAGAAUUAAGAGAAGCAUAUUGGGCCUCGGAAGAGAAGUGCAAGGAAACAGCAAAUCAUGUUAGAGCUUUAUGCACAUCUUUGGCUGUAAAGCGUAGACAAUUUGACAUCCCCGGAUUUCGGUUAAGAAUAGCUACCCUCAUCAAAAACUUGUCUUCUCUUGUUAUAACCCCCCCACGCAGGUCAGUUGGAGGAACUCGGUCAAGAGGGCAGGUGACCCAGGUCAGGGUUUUGGAAGUCUGAUCAGAAAGGAGCUGUUCAGAUAGGUGAUGUUCUCAAUGGACUCCUAUUUUGCUAGGGUGAUAGUGAUACCUAGUUGACCCAACACGGGGUUUAAGUAUUCUGUCAGUGUUAAGAUCAGAAAUGACCUGUCCUUUGAGGUGGCAUUCUCAAUGGAUUUAUAUUUUGCUAGGUUGAUGGUACCUAGUUGACACAAGCCAGGGUUAAGAUUUUGGAUGUAUCAAACAGUCUGAUCAUGAAGAAUGAGAAAGGAGGUGUUGGUUAAGGUGUCAUUCUCAGUGGAUCUUUAGUUUGCUAUAAUAGCUUGUAUGUAAUUGCUCGCAGCUGCUUAUCAUGUGGUUAUAAUUUCUUGUCAGGGGUGAAAUUCUUACUAUAUGAAGUCUUCGAUGAAUAUCAAGUUGUUAAUGGAUUUUUUUGUAUUACUUCACUGUUCAGUAGAAACUUGACAUACCUUUUCGUUA